GGUGGGUGAGCGGCUGAGGCAGACAACCGCGACGCCCUGUAAAACCGUCGGCUCAGCCUACCCAGGUUCGAACCCUGGACCUGCCAC
rnacentral:tRNA from 1 species